rfam:TPA: Bos taurus chromosome 28, whole genome shotgun sequence.
UCCCUGGUAAUCUAGUGGUUAAGACACCAUACUUUCAAUGCUGAGGUCACUGGUUCAAUCCCAGUUUGGGGAA